rnacentral:rRNA from 1 species
AGGAUGAACGUUGGCGGUGUGCCUAACACAUGCAAGUCGAGCGGACAUCCAGUUUACUGGGUGUUAGCGGCGAACGGCUGAGUAAUGCACGGGAACGUACCCUCGGGUAUCGGAUAGCUCAUCGAAAGAUGGGGUAAUACGAUAUAGUCUCGCAAGAGUAAAGCCGCAAGGCGCCGGAGGAACGGCCUGUGUCCUAUCAGGUAGUUGGUGGGGUAAUGGCCUACCAAGCCUCUGACGGGUAACUGGUCUGAGAGGAUGAUCAGUCAGAUCGGGACUGAGACACGGCCCGAACUCCUACGGGAGGCAGCAGUUGGGAAUCUUGCGCAAUGGACGAAAGUCUGACGCAGCGACACCGCGUGGAGGAUGAAGGCUUAGGGUCGUAAACUCCUUUGCUAGGGAGUAAUUUUCUGUAAAGUACCUAGCGAAUAAGGACCGGCUAACUCCGCGCCAGCAGCCGC